UUGAAGAAACAUUGACAGCUGUUACAGAGGAGGAAGCAACAGAGACACUUUAUGAGAGUGAUGAUGGAAAUGCAGAGGAAGAGGGUCCAGCCACUUCUCCAACAAACCUUUCCUCACUCCCUGUAAAGCAGCUGUACAAGACCUAUUUGAUCAAGAAAAUAAAAAAAAUGCGACUUGGAAAUGGAACACUUCAAGCAGCAGAUCCAAAAGACCAAGAUUGAGAUUUUACUGCUGGAACAUCAGUUAAGGGUGGGUGAAGUGGUCAGAGAUGGACGAAUUAUUUCAGUGUUUGAACAA